GCUUAGUUCAUAUCAAGCAAGAGAAUGCUGUCAAUGUCAAUGACCCAUCAGAGGAAGAGGGAGAAGGAGAAAGCUGCAGCUAGACGAAGGAUUGCAAGGAUGGAGGCGGAAAGAAAGAAAGAAGAGCACGAGGGAACUUCUGAGGAGGAAUCGGAGGGCGAAAAAGAUUCGUGCACUGAAGAAAACGAGAAGAAAUGAUGAAACUAAAUCAUCAAUAGUUCAAUUCUAAUUUGGAAAUAAAAAAUUUAGAGUCAAAAUAAGCUUUUCAAAUUCUUUUUA